CCUACGGGAGGCAGCAGUGAGGAAUAUUGGUCAAUGGCCGCAGGGCUGAACCAGCCAAGUCGCGUGAGGGAUGACGGUCCUAUGGAUUGUAAACCUCUUUUGUCAGGGGGCAGAGGGCGCCACGUGUGGCGUUUUGCGAGUACCUGAAGAACAAGCAUCGGCUAACUCGGUGCCAGCAGCCGCGGUAAUACGGGGGAUGCGAUCGUUAUCCGGAUUUAUUGGGUUUAAGGGGUGCGCAGGCGGAAUGUCAAGUCAGCGGUAAAAUUUCGGGGCUCAACCCCGUCGUGCCGUUGAAACUGGUGUUCUAGAGUGAGCGAGAAGUAGGCGGAAUGCGUGGUGUAGCGGUGAAAUGCAUAGAUAUCACGAAGAACUCCGAUUGCGAAGGCAGCAUACCGGA
rnacentral:rRNA from 1 species